rnacentral:piRNA from 1 species
UCAAGUAGGUUGCCGUGACAUGGCCAUACUU